rnacentral:rRNA from 1 species
GACGAACGCUGGCGGCGUGCUUAACACAUGCAAGUCGAACGAUGAAGCUAGAGCUUGCUCUGGUGGAUUAGUGGCGAACGGGUGAGUAACACGCGAGUAACCUGCUCCGAACUCUGGGAUAACUGCUGGAGACGGUAGCUAAUACCGGAUAUGACCAAUGAAGGUAACUCCUGUUGGUGGAAAGAAUUUCGGUUCGGGAUGGACUCGCGGGCUAUCAGCUUGUUGGGGAGGUAACGGCGCACGAAGGCGACGACGGGUAGCCGGCCUGAGAGGGUGAUCGGCCACACUGGGACUGAGACACGGCCCAGACGCCGACGGGAGGCAGCAGUGGGGAAUAUUGCGCAAUGGGCGCAAGCCUGAUGCAGCAACGCCGCGUGAGGGAUGCCGGCCUUCGGGUGGUAAACCUCUUUUAGUAGGGAAGAAGCGAAAAUGACGGUACCUGCAGAAAAAGCACCGGCUAACUACGUGCCAGCCGCCGCCGUAA